AACGAACGCUGGCGGCAGGCUUAACACAUGCAAGUCGGACGCCCCGCAAGGGGAGUGGCAGACGGGUGAGUAACGCGUGGGAACAUACCCUUUUCUACGGAAUAGCUCUGGGAAACUGGAAUUAAUACCGUAUACGCCCUACGGGGGAAAGAUUUAUCGGGGAAGGAUUGGCCCGCGUUGGAUUAGCUAGUUGGUGGGGUAAAGGCCUGCCAAGGCGACGAUCCAUAGCUGGUCUGAGAGGAUGAUCAGCCACAUUGGGACUGAGACACGGCCCAAACUCCUACGGGAGGCAGCAGUGGGGAAUAUUGGACAAUGGGCGCAAGCCUGAUCCAGCCAUGCCGCGUGAGUGAUGAAGGCCUUAGGGUUGUAAAGCUCUUUCACCGAUGAAGAUAAUGACGGUAGUCGGAGAAGAAGCCCCGGCUAACUUCGUG
rnacentral:rRNA from 1 species